CCCCCGGAGGCCACCGCCUGCGCGGUCCCCGCGGCUCGCAGGCCUGGCGCCCUCCCCCUGUGCCCCGCUGUGCGUGUCUUUUCCUGUUCCCGGUGGUCCCUUCCUGCCUCUUGCCCUCCCCGCUCUGCCUUCCCGCCCACUCCGCGCUGCGCCCCGCAGCCCAGCUCCCUUCACCCCACUCCUGCCCUCUCUCCUCCUCCGCUCCUCGCUCCUCUGGGUUCGGCCAAGUCCAGAGCUCUCCGAAGCUUCAGGCUGCCCCGGGACCAGCCCUGCUUUCCCCUCCUGCCUCCCCGCUGGCCCGUGAGUUGGGUUUGCGCCGGUGUGCGCAGGCUGUCCUGGGGCCAAAGCCCAGUUUUGUCUCUUGACCCCUGGUAGAUAACUCGGGGACAAGUAUCUCGAAUCAUCCUUCGGGUCUCGGGGGAAGGUUCUAGGAGUGAAAGCAGACAAGAACAGUUCUGGGGAGACCCUUUUAUGCAAAAUACUUUCUCCCACUCCUCAGGAAGGGAGCCGAGGUCCCUUCCUCCCCCCCUCCCCCCCCCCCCACCGAAUCUCUCAAGACACAGGACAGUUUGUGGCAGGACAGAUGCCUCGCAGCACGAGUGCUUCACCAGGCAUCAGGCGUUGCCAUGCUUUGGUUUCUUUGGUCUAAAUAUACCGGAGUUCAAACGUUCACUUCAGGAUACUUAAGGCCAGUGGGAAAUUCACACUCCAGAGGUACAAAAUGCCUGUCAAGGGGACUCUUCCUCUGCUGAGAAAGAUCUUCUCACUAUUCAAGUGUCACCUUCAUCACCAAAGGGAACCUAACCCAUGGAAUCGAACUUGGCUUUGAGUCCUAGGAGAACAGAGGUAAUGUGUCUGUCUUGUUCACUGUGGAAUCCCUGGGGCCCUGGACAGGGCCUCCCAUGUGACAGAGACAGAGAGAGACAGAGCAUGAAUGGGGAAAGGUCAGAGAGAG